UCCGGUUUGUCACCGGCAGUCCCAUUAGAGUGCCCAACUGAAUGUGGCAACUAAUGGCAAGGGUUGCGCUCGUUGCGGGACUUAACCCAACAUCUCACGACACGAGUUGACGACAGCCAUGCAGCACCUGUGUCCAGGUUCCCUUUCGGGCACCCCUCCAUCUCUGGAGGGUUCCUGGCAUGUCAAGGGUAGGUAAGGUUUUUCGCGUUGCAUCGAAUUAAUCCACAUAAUCCACCGCUUGUGCGUGUCCCCGUCAAUUCCUUUGAGUUUUAGCCUUGCGGCCGUACUCCCCAGGCGGGGUGCUUAAUGCGUUAGCUUCGGCACGGAAAGGGUUGAAGGCCUCCCCGACAACCAGUUGACAUAGUUUAGGGCGUGGACUAC
rnacentral:misc_RNA from 1 species